AGAUUCCUACAACAUAGUUUUAAUGCAUUGGAUCCCAUUAGAACUCUGUAUUUAAGUGCGCUCAAUCUAGAGUAGUAUUGGGAUGGGUGAUUGCCUGGGAAGUCCUAGUAUUUGACAUGC
rnacentral:rRNA from 1 species